GUCCAGUGUCUUUACCACUUCUCUUUGUGUAUACUUUCUAAUGUAAUGUGCCGUACCGGAGGAGUGGCUAGCAGACGAAAAAUUGUAACUUAUUGGCCGCCUCUUUAGUUCUUGUUUCUGACAUUGACGGACAAGGUAUUUAUUAACGCGUAAUGGCCGAAAAUUUAAUGAAAGUUCCGGUAAAAGGAAUUCUAAAGAAUUCCACAAGUUUUGAAGGCUCAACCUCCAGCAAAGGGUCUACCAAUCGAGGUGCAAAAUGGGAUGAAAUGAAUAUUCUAGCUACACACCAUCCACCUGAUAAAGAUUACGGUCACAUGAAAAUUGAAGAGCCUAAAACACCAUUUAGUUAUCAUGGAGAAGAUUCUGGUGAUGAGGAAGAUAACCACGAGCUAGAUAGUAAACUUCUCACAGAAAGGUUGAUGGCUGGUAAUGAGGAAAUUCCAGCUCAGAAAAAUGAAAGCUCUGUUAGUGAAGAUGAAGAAGAGGAAACUCCAAAUGAUAAAGCUAAAAGGAGAUCCUUUGAACAUAAACGAAAAUCACAUUAUAAUGAGUUUAUGGCUGUGAAAUUGGCAAGACAGCUGAUGCAGAAAGAUGAAGAAGAAGUUGAAAACAAUGAAGAAGAAAGAUUAGCUGAAAAGGAUAUUCAUGUUGAAGUAAAGGAACCAGUUGAUGAUGUAGAAGGAAUGGACAUAAUAGAUCAGUCUCAGACUUCCAGUUGAAUGCACUAAAACUCCUGACCAAUUGAUUUAUUUGUAGCCAUUUUUCCCAUCAUGCUAAUUGAAAAUUAUUUCCUCUUGGUCAGACUGCUCAUUUUUGUUAAAUAUUUAGGGGCUUCCCUAAAGGAUUAAAUUUAGAAUCUACAAGUUCAUUACUUGAGCCACACUUUUUGCUCUAACUAUUGGUUUGUCAUAAUUAUGGUGGAAUCUGUUUAUUUGUUGAUUUCUUAGUUAAAAUACCUUUUCAAUCAUUUUCAUGAUUUCACAAUGUCAUUACAAUAAAUGAUUUUGAUUUGUA
rnacentral:misc_RNA from 1 species